AGCAAGGGCAGGACCUAGAGUUCGGGAUAAGCCAGGUCCAGAAUCCCUCCUCAGUGCAGCCCAGGGACCACCCCGCCCCCCUCGGCACACGGCAGGGGGGAUGCCCAACAUACCAGGCCCUCCCCCUCCAAACAGGAUGCUGGAUUCAUUCAUUUGUCAAGAUUCACUCUUCACCAUAAUCUUAAAUUGCCUCUGAGAUAAGGAAGUGUCCACUCUUGUAACCAGGUCUGCCCAGGGAGAUGGGCAUUUUAAUUUUCACUUUACAGAUGGGCAAACCGACGCUCGGGAGGGCUGUUACUUGUCCAAAUCACACAGCCAGUAAGAGGUAAAGGGGGGCUUUGAAUGGAUUAUAAUCAUGUUUUCCCCCUUUUAACGUCCCUUCUUCCCAUGUUCCCAGGAGGGGCAGGUCAGGCCGCCCCCUGGCCCAGCCCCCCUGACCUUCUUUCUACAUUUCUGUGUUUAAUCUGGAGUGAUCAGAAAUGACAGGAGAAACAAAGAGAUUUACCACAGAAAUUACAAGCAAGCCGAUUAUCACUGUGGCCCCAGCGUCUCAAAGCGACAGACAGAAUAGAGGGGCUGGUGGAAAAUGGUAUUACUCCCCUGUGAGACAAAGAGUCACAUGGAGAAAAAGAGGUCCUGGGUCUUUGGGAGUCCCGCAGGCUUGUGAGCAUCUAUGGGAGCUGUGACCAGUUCCUGGGCCAGGGCAUUAGUCCUGGUAUCGGUCCCCUAAGCCCUGGGACCAAGCUGCGGGAGCAGGUCCCGGCGGCGGCCUACCCUAUCGGCUGCAGCUGGCAGGGCCUGGUCACAGAGGUGUCAAUGACACAACUCAGCUUCUCCGCCCAGAGGCUGGCUUAGCACCUCAGGAACCCCACGAGCAAGACCUAAGGAGGAAGACAGAGGAAGGGAAGGACAGGUUUCGGCUCUGCAGAGGAUCAGAGAGGUGAUUGUGGUCCAGGUUGAGGAUGACCACUGUCCCUGCUGUUGGGAGUCAGCCUACGGGGGCGGCAGUCAGCCUGGCCACCGCCUGCGUCAUCUCUCAGAGCCUCAGUUUGCCCAACUGUAAAAUGGGGAUGCCAGCUGCCUGUUCCUCAGAAUGAUGGAGAAAAUUAAAAAAGAAUUGAGUCGGGGCGCCUGGGCAGCUCAGUCAGUUGUGCUUCCAACUUCGGCUCAGGUCACGAUCUCACGGAUCCUGAGUUCAAAGCCCGCUUCUGAUCCUCUGUCCCCCUGCUCUCUCUGCCCCUCUCUGCUCACAUUCUCUCUCUCAAAAAUGAACAAACAUUAAAUAUAUAUAUAUAUAUAUAUAA